rnacentral:rRNA from 1 species
GUAGUCUCGCACAGAUGCAUAUCAAUAAGCGGAGGAAAAGAAACUAACAAGGAUUCCCCUAGUAACGGCGAGUGAAGCGGGAAGAGCUCAAAUUUGAAAUCUUAAAGGGUUUCCCUUUACGAAUUGUAGUUUAAAGAAGUGUUUUCUGUUGAGGUUUUGGUAAAAGUUCUUUGGAAUAGGACAUCAUAGAGGGUGAGAAUCCCGUAUUUGACCUUUACUUUCAACUUUGUGAUACACUUUCAAAGAGUCGGAUUGUUUGGGAAUGCAGUCCAAAAUGGGUGGUAAAUUUCAUCUAAAGCUAAAUAUUGGCGAGAGACCGAUAGCGGACAAGUACCGUGAGGGAAAGAUGAAAAGAACUUUGAAAAGAGAGUUAAACAGUACGUGAAAUUGUCAAAAGGGAAGCGUUUGACACCAGUGUUGUUUUUCUGAAAAUCAAUUAAAGAACUGUUUAUGCUAAGUUGUUUAGACUUUAUCAGCUAUCUGCUUAGUUUUGAGCUUUUCUUUAAUGCACUUUUCAGUUAACAAGUCAACAUCAAUUUCUUUUGCUGUAAAAAAGCUUGAGGAAGGUGGCCUGAGAUUCGUCUUAAGUGUUUAUAGCCUCUUGCCUAUGCAGUCGGAGAGAUUGAGGUCUGCAGCGUAGAUCCUUCGGGGCUAAAUGCAUUUGUGCUAAGUUAUAGCAUUUUAUAGACAACUUGUUGACUAUGAUUUGUCUUGUAGCUUACUCGCUUAUGUUAUUUUACCUACGCUUAGGAUGUUGACGCAUGAGAUAUACGC